CCUCCUCAUAUUUCACUGAUUUACUCUGUGAAAUUGCUGGCUGUCACUCAUAGACUCCCUUUAACCAGACAACUGCAAUCAUAACGCCUGCCACUAAAUCUUUGGGAAAGUGCAAUUUAAAAAAAAAAAUAUUAACAGACUAAGCUUUCAUUUUGGAAAAUUGAAAACCAUGGAAGAGUCCCCGAGCAGCUCUGUUUACGGGUUACAGAUGAAAUAUGGAAUUGCACCUGCUCCUAGGAAGAAGAGAGCUGUUCCUCAGUGUUUUGUGACGGAAAUGAAACACAGUUACAAGCACCCGCAAAAGCUGGCAAAGCUGAAGAACAACACCUCCCGCUAUGGAUGUAACACCCUGCAUGGCGUGUACGCCAAAGGCAUAGUCCCCACAAUGGUUCAUGACAACAAGCACAAUCAAGAGACCAAGAAACCACUCGCCACCAAAUCCAGACAAACUGGAGGAAAAACAGUGGACAACCAUGGUAUGCUCACAUCCCCGCAACCCAGCGAACACCAGCAGCUUUCUGGAUGUGUCGCGGGAACUGGUAAUGCAGAGCUGAGGCCUUCACUUGCUUUCAUUUUACUACACAGCAUUCUUUGAGUACCAUGUCUUGCAACUGGAAUUUGGCAGAUGCUUGUUCCUCUGUAGAUAAGCAGGUUCUGGAAGCUGCUGUGCAAAGUCCUGCUCCAUCCAGUCCUGUACAAGGGAUGGAGUAUCUGCCUGCUGUCCACUAUCAGGUCUCCGAACACGUGCCAACAUGGAUAUCAGAAUGGCCAGGACCUCUGUAAAUGGGCCAGCUUCAGCCAACCAAAGUCAAACUUCAGAUUUAAUGCAUUAAAAAAAUAAAUGAACUGCCU
rnacentral:lncRNA from 1 species